ensembl:snRNA U6 U6 spliceosomal RNA
GUGCUUUGACGGCACAUAUCCUAAAAUUUGAAUGAUAUACAGGAUUAGCAUGGCUUCUGUGCAAAGAUGAAGUGUAAAUUGAUGAAGAAAUGCCUAAGAAA